CAGCUGUCUCUCAGGAGAUGAUAGCUCCACCUGCAUUGGGAUUUUGGCCAAAGAGGUGGAGAUUGUGGCUAGCAGUGACUCUAGCAUUUCAAGCAAGGCCCGGGGAAGCAACAAGGUAAAAAUUCAGCCUGUCGCCAAGUAUGACUGGGAACAGAAGUACUACUAUGGCAACCUGAUUGCUGUGUCUAACUCCUUCUUGGCCUAUGCCAUUCGGGCUGCCAACAAUGGCUCUGCCAUGGUGCGGGUGAUCAGCGUCAGCACUUCGGAGCGGACCUUGCUCAAGGGCUUCACAGGCAGUGUGGCUGAUCUGGCUUUCGCGCACCUCAACUCUCCACAGCUGGCCUGCCUGGAUGAGGCAGGCAACCUGUUCGUGUGGCGCUUGGCUCUGGUUAAUGGCAAAAUUCAAGAAGAGAUCUUGGUCCAUAUUCGGCAGCCAGAGGGCACGCCACUGAACCACUUUCGCAGGAUCAUCUGGUGCCCCUUCAUCCCUGAGGAGAGCGAAGACUGCUGCGAGGAGAGCAGCCCGACAGUGGCCCUGCUGCAUGAAGACCGGGCUGAGGUGUGGGACCUGGACAUGCUCCGCUCCAGCCACAGUACCUGGCCUGUGGAUGUCAGCCAGAUCAAGCAGGGCUUCAUUGUGGUAAAAGGUCAUAGCACGUGCCUCAGUGAAGGAGCCCUCUCUCCUGAUGGGACUGUGCUGGCUACUGCGAGCCACGAUGGCUAUGUCAAGUUCUGGCAGAUCUACAUUGAGGGGCAAGAUGAGCCAAGGUGUCUGCACGAGUGGAAACCUCAUGAUGGGCGGCCCCUCUCCUGCCUCCUGUUCUGUGACAACCAUAAGAAACAAGAUCCUGAUGUCCCUUUCUGGAGGUUCCUUAUUACUGGUGCUGACCAGAACCGAGAGUUAAAGAUGUGGUGUACAGUAUCCUGGACUUGCCUGCAGACUAUUCGCUUCUCCCCAGAUAUCUUCAGUUCAGUGAGUGUGCCCCCUAGCCUCAAGGUUUGCUUGGACCUCUCAGCAGAAUACCUGAUUCUCAGCGAUGUGCAACGGAAGGUCCUCUAUGUGAUGGAGCUGCUGCAAAACCAGGAGGAGGGCCACGCCUGCUUCAGCUCCAUCUCGGAGUUCCUGCUCACCCACCCUGUGCUGAGCUUUGGUAUCCAGGUUGUGAGUCGCUGCCGGCUACGGCACACUGAGGUGCUGCCUGCCGAAGAGGAAAAUGACAGCCUGGGUGCUGCAUUUGGAGAGUCUCGGCCCGAACUGGGCUCUGAGGGCCUGGGGUCAGCCGCUCACGGCUCCCAGCCUGACCUCCGACGAAUUGUGGAGCUGCCUGCACCCGCCGACUUCCUCAGUCUGAGCAGUGAGACCAAGCCCAAGUUGAUGACACCUGACGCCUUCAUGACACCUAGCGCCUCCUUGCAGCAGGUACU
rnacentral:sRNA from 1 species